rnacentral:rRNA from 1 species
UACGGGGGGGGCAAGCGUUGUUCGGAAUUACUGGGCGUAAAGGGCUCGUAGGUGGCCAACUAAGUCAGACGUGAAAUCCCUCGGCUUAACCGGGGAACUGCGUCUGAUACUGGAUGGCUUGAGUUUGGAAGAGGGUCGCGGAAUUCCCGGUGUAGAGGUGAAAUUCGUAGAUAUCGGGAGGAACACCAGUGGCGAAGGCGGCGACCUGGGCCAAUACUGACGCUGAGGUGCGAAAGCGUGGGGAGCAAACAGG